rnacentral:rRNA from 1 species
UACGGAGGGUGCAAGCGUUAUCCGGAUUCACUGGGUUUAAAGGGUGCGUAGGCGGUCAGAUAAGUCAGUGGUGAAAGCCCGCGGCUCAACCGUGGAAUUGCCAUUGAAACUGCCUGACUUGAAUACAGGUGAAGUGGAUGGAAUACAUCAUGUAGCGGUGAAAUGCUUAGAUAUGAUGUAGAACACCAAUUGCGAAGGCAGUUCACUAAGCUGUCAUUGACGCUGAGGCACGAAAGCGUGGGGAGCGAACAGG